UGGGGAAUUUUGGACAAUGGGCGAAAGCCUGAUCCAGCAAUGCCGCGUGUGUGAAGAAGGCCUUCGGGUUGUAAAGCACUUUUGUCCGGAAAGAAAUCCUUGGCUCUAAUACAGUCGGGGGAUGACGGUACCGGAAGAAUAAGCACCGGCUAACUACGUGCCAGCAGCCGCGGUAAUACGUAGGGUGCAAGCGUUAAUCGGAAUUACUGGGCGUAAAGCGUGCGCAGGCGGUUUGCUAAGACCGAUGUGAAAUCCCCGGGCUCAACCUGGGAACUGCAUUGGUGACUGGCAGGCUAGAGUAUGGCAGAGGGGGGUAGAAUUCCACGUGUAGCAGUGAAAUGCGUAGAGAUGUGGAGGAAUACCGAUGGCGAAGGCAGCCCCCUGGGCCAAUACUGACGCUCAUGCACGAAAGCGUGGGGAGCAAACAGGAUUAGAUACCCUGGUAGUCCACGCCCUAAACGAUGUCAACUAGUUGUUGGGGAUUCAUUUCCUUAGUAACGUAGCUAACGCGUGAAGUUGACCGCCUGGGGAGUACGGUCGCAAGAUUAAAACUCAAAGGAAUUGACGGGGUCA
rnacentral:rRNA from 1 species